GAACUGCAGACAGCUCAUAUUAAGAGCAUAUGAAAGGAGUGGAAGGUUCCUACUGGUCCGGGGCACAUUGGCAUGUUAUUUACGAGGAAAUGGUUGCAAGAUGGCAACAACAUAACGUGACAAAACUGUCAACAAAGUAACUCUUUUUAUGUUGAGGCAUGGAAUUUAUGUGCUAGCUUUUAUCUGCUAACUGCUCAUUGGAGGACGUUAAAUAGUCUUAUGAGGAGUAUAUUUCUUUAACAAGGAGAUCCACUAAGGUUGUUGCUACUGUUUUUCCAGAUUCAGUAUAUCUCCAAAUAUGAGGAUAUCUCCUGUACACGAGAAUCUGACGUGCCUUUCUUUUUGAACUUCAUAGUAGUACCUAAUUUAGUUUUGUUUCUAACUGUACCAUUGUUGCGACAAUUUAUGUAUUAUUAC